CGAAUACGAGACGCUACGGCGUCGAAGUAGUGUAUGUCAUGCUUCCAAGAAAAGCUUGCACUGUCAUAGAUAAAAAAUGCCUGUACCAUAACCGACACAGGUGGGUAGGUAGAGUAUACUAAGGGGCGCGAGAUAACUCUCUCUAAGGAACUCGGCAAAAUAACUCCGUAACUUCGGGAGAAGGAGUGCCUUAUUUAAUAAGGUUGCAAUAACAAGAUCCAAGCAACUGUUUACCAAAAACACGGGUCUCCGCUAAGUCGUAAGACGAUGUAUGGGGGCUGACGCCUGCCCAGUGCCAGAAGGUUAAAGAAGUUGGUUAGCAUCUGCGAAGCUGAUAACUGAAGCCCUGGUGAACGGCGGCCGUAACAAUAACGGUCCUAAGGUAGCGAAAUUCCUUGUCGGGUAAGUUCCGACCCGCACGAAAGGCGUAAUGAUUUGGAUACUGUCUCGGAGAGGGGCUCGGUGAAAUAGACUUGUCUGUGAAGAUGCGGACUACCUGCACCUGGACAGAAAGACCCUAUGAAGCUUUACUGUAACUUGAAAUUGAAAUUGGACUUUAUUCGCGCAGUAUAGGUGGGAGGCGUUGAAAAUACUCUUGCGGGAGUAUUGGAGCUAUCAGUGAGAUACCACUCUUAUAAUGUUAGAUUUCUAACUUUGAACCAUUAUCUGGUCAAAGAACAGUUUCAGGCGGGCAGUUUGACUGGGGCGGUCGCCUCCCAAACGGUAACGGAGGCGUACAAAGGUUUCCUCUGAACGGAUAGAAAUCGUAUCUAGAGUAUAAAGGCAUAAGGAAGCUUGACUGUGAGACCUACAAGUCGAGCAGGGACGAAAGUCGGUCUUAGUGAUCUGACGGUACUGAGUGGAAAGGCCGUCACUCAACGGAUAAAAGUUACUCUAGGAUAACAGGCUGAUCUCCCCCAAGAGUUCACAUCGACGGGGAGGUUUGGCACCUCGAUGUCGGCUCAUCGCAUCCUGGGGCGGUAGUACGUCCCAAGGGUUGGGCUGUUCGCCCAUGAAAGCGGUACGCGAGCUGGGUUCAGAACGUCGUGAGACAGUUCGGUCCAUAUCCGGUGUAGGCGUUAGAAUAUUGAGAGGAGCCUUCUCUAGUACGAGAGGACCGAGAAGGACAUACCUCUGGUGUACCAGUUAUCGUGCCAACGGUAAACGCUGGGUAGCUAUGUAUGGAGUGGAUAACCGCUGAAAGCAUCUAAGUGGGAAGCCCACCUCAAGAUAAG
rnacentral:rRNA from 1 species